rnacentral:rRNA from 1 species
CUGCUGCCUUCCGUAGGAGUUUGGGCCGUGUCUCAGUCCCAAUGUGGCCGUCCACCCUCUCAGGCCGGCUACUGAUCGCUGCCUUGGUGGGCCGUUACCCCGCCAACUAGCUAAUCAGACGCGGAUCCAUCUAUACCACCGGAGUUUUUCACACUGCCCCAUGCGGAGCCGUGCGCUUAUGCGGUAUUAGCACCUAUUUCUAAGUGUUAUCCCCCGGUAUACGGCAGGUUAUCCACGCGUUACUCACCCGUCCGCCA